GCGAAAAAUGUUCCUUGUUUAAAAUGGCGGAGAACUGAUCUUGCACAGAAGUCAUCAAAAUGUUUACUAGGAAUUAUCGCACUAGUGUCAUCAGCAAGUUUUAUGGGAUCUGAUAAGAACAGAAGUACCAUUUCAGUGAUUCCCAUUUUGACUCCUUCAAGUAGGGCGUCCAAGUCCCAGCCUACUAAAGAACUUUAUUCCUA